rnacentral:rRNA from 1 species
UGCCAGCAGCCGCGGUAAUACGGAGGGGGUUAGCGUUGUUCGGAAUUACUGGGCGUAAAGCGCACGUAGGCGGACUGGAAAGUAUGGGGUGAAAUCCCAGGGCUCAACCCUGGGACUGCCUCAUAAACUAUCAGUCUAGAGUUCGAGAGAGGUGAGUGGAAUUCCAAGUGUAGAGGUGAAAUUCGUAGAUAUUUGGAGGAACACCAGUGGCGAAGGCGGCUCAAUGGCUCGAUACGGAAGCGGAGGUGAGAAAGUGUGGGGAGCAAACAGGAGUAGAUA